rnacentral:rRNA from 1 species
GAUGAACGCUAGCGGCAGGCCUAAUACAUGCAAGCCGAACGGCAAGAUUUUCAGCAAUGGAAAUCCUAGAGUGGCGUAAGGGUGCGUAACACGUAUGCAAUCUGCCCUCAACAGGAGGAUAGCUCCCCGAAAGGGGAAUUAAGACUCCAUAAGAUCUUAGAGUGGCAUCACUUAGAGAUUAAACUACCAGGGGUUGAGGAUGAGCAUGCGCAUGAUUAGUUAGUUGGCGGGGUAACGGCCCACCAGACGAUGAUCAUUAGGGGAACUGAGAGGUUGAUCCCCCA